rnacentral:rRNA from 1 species
UACGGAGGGUGCAAGCGUUGUUCGGAAUUACUGGGCGUAAAGCGCGCGCAGGCGGUUUGCUAAGUCAGAUGUGAAAGCCCAUGGCUCAACCAUGGACGUGCAUUUGAAACUGGCAAGCUUGAGUAGUGGAGGGGGUGGUGGAAUUCCCGGUGUAGAGGUGAAAUUCGUAGAUAUCGGGAGGAAUACCGGUGGCGAAGGCGACCACCUGGCCACAUACUGACGCUGAGGCGCGAAAGCGUGGGGAGCAAACAGG